AGGGGCAGCAUGAACUUAGCUUGCUAAGUUUGAUGGCGACCGGCGCACGGGUGAGUAACACGUAUCCAACCUGCCGAUGACUCGGGGAUAGCCUUUCGAAAGAAAGAUUAAUACCCGAUGGCAUAGUUCUUCCGCAUGGUAGAACUAUUAAAGAAUUUCGGUCAUCGAUGGGGAUGCGUUCCAUUAGGUUGUUGGCGGGGUAACGGCCCACCAAGCCUUCGAUGGAUAGGGGUUCUGAGAGGAUGAACGGCCACAUUGGGACUGAGAUACGGCCCAGACUCC
rnacentral:rRNA from 1 species